UACGUAGGGUGCAAGCGUUAAUCGGAAUUACUGGGCGUAAAGCGUGCGCAGGCGGUUUUGUAAGUCUGACGUGAAAGCCCCGGGCUCAACCUGGGAAUGGCGAUGAAGACUGCAAGGCUUGAAUCUGGCAGAGGGGGGUAGAAUUCCACGUGUAGCAGUGAAAUGCGUAGAGAUGUGGAGGAAUACCGAUGGCGAAGGCAGCCCCCUGGGAUAACACUGACGCUCAUGCACGAAAGCGUGGGGAGCAAACAGG
rnacentral:rRNA from 1 species